rnacentral:rRNA from 1 species
CAAAAUCAAUAGCCACCCCACCCAACCCACAAACCCACCCAGGCCCACCACCCAAAACACUGGCUAACAUUUUUAGGUUGGGGCGACCUUGGAGAAAAACAGAUCCUCCAAAAAUAGGGACAAAUCCCCUAACCGAGAGCAACCUCUCAACGUGCUAACAGCACCCAGACCCAGUAAAUCUGAUCAAUGAACCAAGCUACCCCAGGGAUAACAGCGCAAUCUCCUCCAAGAGCCCCUAUCGACGAGGAGGUUUACGACCUCGAUGUUGGAUCAGGACAUCCUAGUGGUGCAGCCGCUACUAAGGGUCGUUGUCAACGAUAGAUGG